CUGUUUAGGUUUCUCUUCAUAACACAUAAGUCUUUCGCAUUUUACUACAGACUUCCGUGAAGAAUAACUCCAACCCAUUUAGCCUAUUUUUGACAGACUUUGCCAUAUGUAGGGAC
ensembl:snRNA U5 U5 spliceosomal RNA